rnacentral:rRNA from 1 species
AUUGAACGCUGGCGGCACGCCUAACACAUGCAAGUCGAGCGGCAGCAUGCUUAGUAGCAAUACUAAGUGAUGGCGAGCGGCGGACGGGUGAGGAACACGUAGGAACCUGCCCAAGAGAGGGGGACAACCAAGGGAAACUUUGGCUAAUACCGCAUAAUCUAUUAGGAGAAAAGUUGCCCGCAAGGGUGGCGCUUUUGGAGGGGCCUGCGUCCGAUUAGCUAGUUGGUGAGGUAAUAGCUCACCAAGGCGAUGAUCGGUAACUGGUCUGAGAGGACGACCAGUCACACUGGGACUGAGACACGGCCCAGACUCCUACGGGAGGCAGCAGUGGGGAAUCUUGGACAAUGGGGGCAACCCUGAUCCAGCGAUGCCGCGUGGGUGAAGAAGGCCUUCGGGUUGUAAAGCCCUUUAGGCGGGGAAGAAGAAUAUGGGGUUAACAGCCUUGUAUUUUGACGGUACCCGCAGAAUAAGCACCGGCAAACUCUGUGCCAGCCGCCGCCGUAA